rnacentral:lncRNA from 1 species
GUUCGAACAAUCUCAAUAACUUUGGAAUGUAUGAGCCUUUUUUCCUAAUAGUCGGAUCACGUCCCUAGGAUCUCUGCUCUUUAGCGAAUGGCAUACGUUCUUGAAGAUGACAAGUAUCUAUCUUCAUCUAUAAAAUAUAACUUUCCGGGACCUCCAAGAAAAUGAAUGCUUACUUUGCAUACCUUCUCUUAGAGACUAAUUUCACACGAACUGAAAUCUAUCUCUUUCACAAAGCUUUGAGUUCUUCUGACUCUAUCUCUGAUCUCCAUGCUCCAUAAGGCA